CAGUGUUCAGUGUUUACCUGCAGUGUUCAGUGUUUAACUACAGUGUUCAGUGUUCUGUUGUCUGGGUUUAAU